UGGACAAUUGCAGAAGAACAGAGGCCUGAUUAAGGGUCAGAUUGAACGCUGGCGGGAUGCUUUACACAUGCAGUCGAACGGCAGCACGACCGGUUCAGUGGCGAGUGGUAUAAAACGGUAUAAUACCGGAACGCCUUAGUAGCGGGGAUAACUACGCGAAAGCGUAGCUAAUACCGCAUACGCCUCGUGCGGGAGCGGGGAUCUUUCGGGCCCCGCACUAUUAGAGCGGCCGAUAUCGGAUUAUUAGCCAGUUGGCGCACGCCCACCAAGGCGACGAUCCAGAAGCUGGUCGGAGAGGAUCGACCGUCACACGCGGGACUGAGACACGGCCCAGACUCCUACGGGAGGCAGCAGUGGGGAAAUUUGACAAUGGGGGAAACCCUGACCAGCCACCCGCGUGCGAUGAAGGCCUUCGGGUUGUAAAGCACUUAGCAGGUGAAAGAACGGCACGUGGGAUAAUACCCUGUGCACCGACGGUACCUGCAGAAUAAGCACCGGCUAACUACGUGCUACAGCCAGCGGUAAAUAGGUGCAAGCGCUGUUAACUGGAACUGGCCGGGCGCAGCGCGCGGCGGCGGUUCGGAAAGAAAGAUGCAACCCAGAGCGAACUGAACUCAUUUUAACCACCGAGCUAGGAGUGCAGUCAGGAGGGAGGUGGAAUUCCGCGGCAGGAAAGGAACAAGUAGAUAUGCGGAGGAACACUGACGGCGAAGGCAGCCCUGGGAUAACACUGACGCUCAUGCACGAAGCGGGGAGCAAACAGGACAGAUGACCGGGUAGUCCACGCCCUAAACGAUGUCAACUAGCUGUUAGCCUUCGGGCCUUGGUAGCAGCUAACGCGUGAAGCGGACCGCCCGGGAGUACGGUCGCAAGAUUAAAAUCCUCAAAGGAAUUGACGUGGGGACCCGCACAAGCGGUGGGAUGAUGAUUAAUUCGAUGCAACGCGAAAAACCUUACCUACCCUUGACAUGUCUGGAAUCCCGAAGAGAUUUGGGAGUGCUCGCAAGAGAACCGGAACACAGGUGCUGCAUAGCUGUCGUCAGCUCGUGUCGAGAUGUUGGGUUAAGUCCCGCAACGAGCGCAACCUUUGUCAUUAGUUACGAAAGGGCACUCUAAUGAGAUCGCCGGUGACAAACCGAGGAAGGUGGGGAUGACGUCAAGUCCUCAUGGCCCUUAUGGGUAGGGGCUUCUCACACGUCAUACAAUGUCGGACAGAGGGUCGCCAACCCGCGAGAGGGGGAGCCAAUCCCAGAAACCCGAUCGUAGUCCGGAUCGCAGUCUGCAACUCGACCGCGUGAAGUCGGAAUCGCUAGUAAUCGCGGAUCAGCAUGUCGCGGUGAAUACGUUCCCGGGUCUUGUACACACCGCCCGUCACACCAUGUGGAGUGGGUUUUACCAGAAGUAGUUAGCCUUCCUAACCGUGCGAGGGCGAUUACCACGGUAGGAUUCAGCGACUGGGUGAAGUCGUAACAAGGUAG
rnacentral:rRNA from 1 species